AACGAACGCUGGCGGCAUGCCUAACACAUGCAAGUCGAACGAGACCUUCGGGUCUAGUUGCGCACGGGUGCGUAACGCGUGGGAACCUGCCCUUAAGUUCGGAAUACCUCCCCGAAAGGGGUGCUAAUACCGGAUAAUGUCUUCGGACCAAAGAUUUAUCGCCUUUGGAUGGGCCCGCGUUGGAUUAGCUAGUUGGUAGGGUAAAAGCCUACCAAGGCGACGAUCCAUAGCUGGUCUGAGAGGAUGAUCAGCCACACUGGGACUGAGACACGGCCCAGACUCCUACGGGAGGCAGCAGUGGGGAAUAUUGGACAAUGGGCGAAAGCCUGAUCCAGCAAUGCCGCGUGAGUGAUGAAGGCCUUAGGGUUGUAAAGCUCUUUUACCCGGGAUGAUAAUGACAGUACCGGGAGAAUAAGCUCCGGCUAACUACGUG
rnacentral:rRNA from 1 species